UACGUAGGGUGCAAGCGUUAAUCGGAAUUACUGGGCGUAAAGCGUGCGCAGGCGGUUAUGUAAGACAGGUGUGAAAUCCCCGGGCUUAACCUGGGAACUGCAUUUGUGACUGCAUAGCUAGAGUACGGCAGAGGGGGAUGGAAUUCCGCGUGUAGCAGUGAAAUGCGUAGAUAUCAGGAGGAAUACCGAUGGCGAAGGCAGGUCUCUGGGCUGACACUGACGCUCAUGCACGAAAGCGUGGGGAGCAAACAGG
rnacentral:rRNA from 1 species